GGGGCUGUGGGGUAGCUUGGUAUCCUUCCAGCUUGGGGUGCUGGUGACCUGAGUUCAAAUCUCAGCAGCCCCA
rnacentral:tRNA from 3 species